GUAAUCGCGAAUCAGAAUGUCGCGGUGAAUACGUUCCCGGGCCUUGUACACACCGCCCGUCACACCAUGGGAGUGGGUUGCACCAGAAGUAGAUAGCUUAACCUUCGGGAGGGCGUUUACCACGGUGUGAUUCAUGACUGGGGUGAAGUCGUAACAAGGUAACCCUAGGGGAACCUGGGGUUGGAUCACCUCCUUACCUUAA
rnacentral:rRNA from 1 species